GACGAACGCUGGCGGCGUGCUUAACACAUGCAAGUCGAACGAAGUGGCGAACGGGUGAGUAACGCGUAAUCAACCUGCCCUUCAGAGGGGAACAACAGUUGGAAACGACUGCUAAUACCGCAUACUGAAGGAGGGGAUGGCGUCGGAUUGGCUAGUUGGGGGGGUAACGGCCCACCAAGGCGAUGAGCAGUCGCCGGGCGUGUAGGAGGCAAGGCCAAAUUGUGCGUGAGAAACGGCCCCGAUCCCUACGGGAGUCAGCAGUGGGGAAUUUUCCGCAAUGGAAGAAAGUCUGACGGAGCAACUCCCCGUGAGUGAGGAGGGCUUUCGGGUUGUAAAGAUUUGUUAAGCGGGACGCGGUACCGGAAUAGAAAGCCACGGCUAACUACGUGCCAGCAGCCGCGGUAAUAC
rnacentral:rRNA from 1 species